ensembl:miRNA
AACACAGUGGACGCUCAGUAAAUGUUUGUUGAGUUGAGAUGCGCUACAUUCAACGGGUAUUUACUGAGCCCCCACUCUGUG